UACGUAGGGACCAAGCGUUGUUCGGAUUUACUGGGCGUAAAGGGCGCGUAGGCGGCGCGGUAAGUCACUUGUGAAAUCUCUGAGCUUAACUCAGAACGGCCAAGUGAUACUGCAGUGCUAGAGUGUGGAAGGGGCAAUCGGAAUUCUUGGUGUAGCGGUGAAAUGCGUAGAGAUCCGGAAGAACACCGGUGGCGAAGGCGCCCGCUGGGC
rnacentral:rRNA from 1 species